rnacentral:rRNA from 5 species
GCUGAUGCGUUGUUGGGUAGGGGAGCGUUCUGUAAGCCUGCGAAGGUGACCUGUGAGGGUUGCUGGAGGUAUCAGAAGUGCGAAUGCUGACAUAAGUAACGAUAAAGCGGGUGAAAAGCCCGCUCGCCGGAAGACCAAGGGUUCCUGUCCAACGUUAAUCGGGGCAGGGUGAGUCGACCCCUAAGGCGAGGCCGAAAGGCGUAGUCGAUGGGAAACGGGUUAAUAUUCCCGUACUUGGUGUUACUGCGAAGGGGGGACGGAGAAGGCUAUGUUGGCCGGGCGACGGUUGUCCCGGUUUAAGCGUGUAGGUGUGUGUUCCAGGUAAAUCCGGUUCACUUUAACACUGAGGCGUGAUGACGAGGCACUACGGUGCUGAAGCAACAAAUGCCCUGCUUCCAGGAAAAGCCUCUAAGCAUCAGGUAACAUCAAAUCGUACCCCAAACCGACACAGGUGGUCAGGUAGAGAAUACCAAGGCGCUUGAGAGAACUCGGGUGAAGGAACUAGGCAAAAUGGUGCCGUAACUUCGGGAGAAGGCACGCUGACACGUAGGUGAAGUGAUUUACUCACGGAGCUGAAGUCAGUCGAAGAUACCAGCUGGCUGCAACUGUUUAUUAAAAACACAGCACUGUGCAAACACGAAAGUGGACGUAUACGGUGUGACGCCUGCCCGGUGCCGGAAGGUUAAUUGAUGGGGUCAGCGCAAGCGAAGCUCCUGAUCGAAGCCCCGGUAAACGGCGGCCGUAACUAUAACGGUCCUAAGGUAGCGAAAUUCCUUGUCGGGUAAGUUCCGACCUGCACGAAUGGCGUAAUGAUGGCCAGGCUGUCUCCACCCGAGACUCAGUGAAAUUGAACUCGCUGUGAAGAUGCAGUGUACCCGCGGCAAGACGGAAAGACCCCGUGAACCUUUACUAUAGCUUGACACUGAACAUUGAGCCUUGAUGUGUAGGAUAGGUGGGAGGCUUUGAAGUGUGGACGCCAGUCUGCAUGGAGCCGACCUUGAAAUACCACCCUUUAAUGUUUGAUGUUCUAACGUGGACCCGUAAUCCGGGUUGCGGACAGUGUCUGGUGGGUAGUUUGACUGGGGCGGUCUCCUCCUAAAGAGUAACGGAGGAGCACGAAGGUUGGCUAAUCCUGGUCGGACAUCAGGAGGUUAGUGCAAUGGCAUAAGCCAGCUUGACUGCGAGCGUGACGGCGCGAGCAGGUGCGAAAGCAGGUCAUAGUGAUCCGGUGGUUCUGAAUGGAAGGGCCAUCGCUCAACGGAUAAAAGGUACUCCGGGGAUAACAGGCUGAUACCGCCCAAGAGUUCAUAUCGACGGCGGUGUUUGGCACCUCGAUGUCGGCUCAUCACAUCCUGGGGCUGAAGUAGGUCCCAAGGGUAUGGCUGUUCGCCAUUUAAAGUGGUACGCGAGCUGGGUUUAGAACGUCGUGAGACAGUUCGGUCCCUAUCUGCCGUGGGCGCUGGAGAACUGAGGGGGGCUGCUCCUAGUACGAGAGGACCGGAGUGGACGCAUCACUGGUGUUCGGGUUGUCAUGCCAAUGGCACUGCCCGGUAGCUAAAUGCGGAAGAGAUAAGUGCUGAAAGCAUCUAAGCACGAAACUUGCCCCGAGAUGAGUUCUCCCUGAGACUUAGAGUCUCCUGAAGGAACGUUGAAGACGACGACGUUGAUAGGCCGGGUGUGUAAGCGCAGCGAUGCGUUGAGCUAACCGGUACUAAUGAACCGUGAGGCUUAACCUUACAACGCCGAAG